CAGCCAGACUCCUACGGGAGGCAGCAGUGGGGAAUAUUGCACAAUGGGGGAAACCCUGAUGCAGCGACGCCGCGUGAGCGAUGAAGUAUUUCGGUCUGUAAAGCUCUAUCAGCAGGGAAGAAGAUGACGGUACCUGACUAAGAAGCCCCGGCUAACUACGUGCCAGCAGCCGCGGUAAUACGUAGGGGGCAAGCGUUAUCCGGAUUUACUGGGUGUAAAGGGAGCGUAGACGGCGAUGCAAGCCAGAUGUGAAAGCCCGGGGCUCAACCCCGGGACUGCAUUUGGAACUGUGUGGCUGGAGUGUCGGAGAGGCAGGCGGAAUUCCUAGUGUGGCGGUGAAAUGCGUAGAUAUUAGGAGGAACACCAGUGGCGAAGGCGGCCUGCUGGACGAUGACUGACGUUGAGGCUCGAAAGCGUGGGGAGCGAACAGGAUUAGAUACCCCCGUACC
rnacentral:rRNA from 1 species